UACGUAGGGUGCGAGCGUUAAUCGGAAUUACUGGGCGUAAAGCGUGCGCAGGCGGUUAUGUAAGACAGGUGUGAAAUCCCCGGGCUCAACCUGGGAACUGCAUCUGUGACUGCAUCGCUGGAGUGCGGCAGAGGGGGAUGGAAUUCCGCGUGUAGCAGUGAAAUGCGUAGAUAUGCGGAGGAACACCGAUGGCGAAGGCAAUCCCCUGGGCCUGCACUGACGCUCAUGCACGAAAGCGUGGGGAGCAAACAGG
rnacentral:rRNA from 1 species